UGACGGUACCUGACUAAGAAGCUCCGGCUAAAUACGUGCCAGCAGCCGCGGUAAUACGUAUGGAGCAAGCGUUAUCCGGAUUUACUGGGUGUAAAGGGAGUGUAGGCGGCAUGGCAAGUCUGAAGUGAAAGCCCGGGGCUCAACCCCGGAACUGCUUUGGAAACUGUUAAGCUAGAGUACAGGAGAGGUAAGCGGAAUUCCUAGUGUAGCGGUGAAAUGCGUAGAUAUUAGGAGGAACACCAGUGGCGAAGGCGGCUUACUGGACUGUAACUGACGUUGAGGCUCGAAAGCGUGGGGAGCAAACAGGAUUAGAUACCCUG
rnacentral:rRNA from 1 species